UUUUUUUUUUUAAUUUUUGUAUUUAAUUCUUUGAUUUUGAUACAAACAUCAGAAGGUGUAAAAAAAAUAAAACAGAAGUCUCCUUUCCACUCUGUUCUCUACCUGCCCAGUUCCUAGACUUAACGAGUAAUCAAUGUCACCAUUUUCUUGUUUAUUCUUCUACAGUUUUUUGGGGUUUUUUUGUCUUUUGUCUUUUUAGGGCCACACUUGUGGCAUAUGGAGGUCUUUCCAUAUCACACUGAAUUAUCUUUUAAUUACAUCUUUUUGUUUGUCAAGAAUACUUUUUACUUGCUUUCAUUACAGUUCAGUCUAGCACACAGGCAACCAGCAGUCCCAAAGAGCUAUCUGAGACAGCUGAUGGCAGCACCAUAUCACACACCAAGGACCAUCCAUCUCCUUUCUCCAUCUCAUCUUCUUUGCUCCUUUCACCAAUGCACCUAAUUCUCCUCCUCUCUGUUCUUCUCCCAUCUCAUCCAUGCCCUAAUCCUGACAACUGACCUAAGAACAUCAAACAUCACUGAUACUGCUUAGUCAUGGCCAGCAAUAAAGAAGCUGCAGACCCAUGAUAUAAAGAGAAAAGGGUAACUAAUUUCCAUGGGAAUUCAUAAUUAACAAGAGUGCCUUAAAUUGAGGAGUUUUGUUUGGAGUUGUUUUUCUUUAUGUUUCCUUUGGUACUUUGGUUCUUGAAAAGGAUGAGUAUUGGCACUAUUUUCUCUAAGCCUGGAAACAAAAACAAGCACACACUUGGGUCUAGCCUUUGAGUAAUGCCGGAUAGAGUUCAUUAUGAAUGAGAUGAUAAGAAACAAAGCAUAAGAACUAUAGAAAAUGAGUAUUUUGGCUCCAGAGUAUACCUUUUUUCUAACAUAAAAAUAAGUAGCUGCAAUCUGAAAACACAUUCUAGAAACAUUUUAGAAGUAUUCACAACUGAAAAAAGUUCCUUCUCUUUUUAUUUUUCAUCCUGCAAAUUCAAUGCCAUCCUCUUAUCCUUAAAAAAGCUCCUUUUUCCCCUUGCCCAAACCAAACAUUACAGCUGUUAAGGUUUUUAAAGUCAUAAAAGGAGAGGGAAAAAUGUUAGCAAAUAAAAAAUGUAUUUAGACUCAGAAGAGGUCUUCCACUGAUCAAAGAAUUAAGUUAAGGCAGCCACAUCAUUAACAAGUAGUUAACAAGUGAUAACUCACAGGGUAUGGAGCACUGCCUUCACUCUGUAUUCCUGUCAUGCCACAGGCCUUUGCUACAAUUUCAAGGGUUACUGUCGAACUUAUCCCAGGUUCAGAGGUUUAGAGGUAAAAUUUUAAUCACUAUACAUAGCUAUAGCUAU
ensembl:lncRNA